UUCCCCUAGUAACUGCGAGUGAAGCGGGAAAAGCUCAAAUUUAAAAUCUGGCGGUCUUAGACUGUCCGAGUUGUAAUCUAGAGAAGUGUUAUCCGCGUUGGACCGUGUACAAGUCUCCUGGAAUGGAGCGUCAUAGAGGGUGAGAAUCCCGUCUUUGACACGGACUACCAAGGCUUUGUGAUGCGCUCUCAAAGAGUCGAGUUGUUUGGGAAUGCAGCUCAAAAUGGGUGGUAAAUUCCAUCUAAAGCUAAAUAUUGGCGAGAGACCGAUAGCGAACAAGUACCGUGAGGGAAAGAUGAAAAGAACUUUGGAAAGAGAGUUAAACAGUACGUGAAAUUGCUGAAAGGGAAACGCUUGAAGUCAGUCGCGUUGGCCAGGGAUCAACCUUGCUCUUGCUGGGUGUACUUUCUGGUUAACGGGUCAACAUCAAUUUUGAUUGUUGGAAAAAGAUUAGGGGAAUGUGGCAUCUUCGGAUGUGUUAUAGCCCUUAGUUGUAUACAACAGUUGGGAUUGAGGAACUCAGCACGCCGAAAGGCCGGGUUUUAACCACGUUCGUGCUUAGGAUGUUGGCAUAAUGGCUUUAAUCGACCCGUCUUGAAACACGGACCAAGGAGUCUAACAUGCCUGCGAGUGUUUGGGUGGAAAACCCGAGCGCGUAAUGAAAGUGAAAGUUGAGAUCCCUGUCGCGGGGAGCAUCGACGCCCGGACCAGAAAUUUAUGGACGGUUCCGCGGUAGAGCAUGUAUGUUGGGACCCGAAAGAUGGUGAACUAUGCCUGAAUAGGGUGAAGCCAGAGGAAACUCUGGUGGAGGCUCGUAGCGAUUCUGACGUGCAAAUCGAUCGUCAAAUUUGGGUAUAGGGGCGAAAGACUAAUCGAACCAUCUAGU
rnacentral:rRNA from 1 species